rnacentral:rRNA from 1 species
AACGAACGCUGGCGGCAUGCCUAACACAUGCAAGUCGAACGAAGUCUUCGGACUUAGUGGCGCACGGGUGCGUAACGCGUGGGAAUCUGCCCUUGGGUGCGGAAUAACUUCUCGAAAGGGAUGCUAAUACCGCAUAAUGUCGUAAGACCAAAGAUUUAUCGCCCAAGGAUGAGCCCGCGUAAGAUUAGCUAGUUGGUGGGGUAAAAGCCUACAAGGCGACGAUCUUUAGCUGGUCUGAGAGGAUGAUCAGCCACACUGGGACUGAGACACGGCCCAGACUCCUACGGGAGGCAGCAGUGGGGAAUAUUGGACAAUGGGCGAAAGCCUGAUCCAGCAAUGCCGCGUGAGUGAUGAAGGCCCUAGGGUUGUAAAGCUCUUUACCAGGGAUGAUAAUGACAGUACCUGGAGAAUAAGCUCCGGCUAACUCCGUGCCAGCAGCCGCGGUAAU